AUGCUAAUUCAUACAUAUGGUUUAACCUUCGUUUAUCUAUUCAGCUUGGUUCAGAAAGGCAUACAUUUGAUUUCCAAUGAAGUGCAAUGAGGGCCCUAGCUGUUAGGACCACCUCUGUGAGACUAUUGCUUUCUUGUAAAAUGACCAGUAUGGGGGCAAAUCUAGCCACAGACCUGUUUCAAAUGUGGGUGUGAGUAUGAUGCCCAGUGGCUGCUCAAUGUUGUAAAAAAGAGACCCCCACUCCUAUCGAAAUAAUGAAUGGUGGGAAGCCUCCACCCGUGGCACGUGAGUGGGG